rnacentral:misc_RNA from 1 species
CCUCCUUAUAACGAAGUUACACUUACAGAGUGUUCACACAAAUAAUUAAUUACGAAGUUUUAAGAGAGCUCUAACCCAUGCGCACAGUAUGUGCUCAUCAGUUAGGGUUUUUAACCCGGACGUGUAAACGUCAUGCUCUUUAACAAUUUGGAAAGCUGAUAAAAUAAGGUAAACAUUAUUGUUUAUUUAAUUUGUUAUUCAACAAUUUAAAAAAUAAUUUUGAUUAUCACUGUAAGAGAAAACUCAAGCGUUAUUUAUGUCAAAACGAACAUGCCUAUACAACAUGUCUCGUUAAUAAAUAUGACACAAGAUGAUGCAAUCGAGAAUGUGAGAACAUUUAAGGUUGUAUGGUUAAGUGAAUAAGCGUAUACGGUGGAUGCC